rnacentral:rRNA from 1 species
AGAGUUUGAUCCUGGCUCAGGGUGAACGCUGGUAACGUGGAUACCGGCAUGCAAGUCAAGGGGGUCCUGCCGUAAGGCGGGGCAACCGGCGAACGGCUUAGUAACACGUAGAUACAUACCUUAAAGUGGAGCAUAGCUCGUCGAAAGACGGGGUAAUUUUCCAUAGUCCCCUGCCUCGCGUUGACGCAAGUCAAGGCGGGCGCAAGGGUAAAGCAGCAAUGCGCUUUAAGAAUGGUCUGCGGCCUAUCAGCUUGUUGGCGAGGUAAUGGCUCACCAAGGCUAUGACGGGUAGGGGGCGUGAGAGCGCGACCCCCAAGAGUGAGACUGCGACACGGCUCACACUCCUACGGGAGGCUGCAGUCGAGAAUCUUCCGCAAUGGGCGAAAGCCUGACGGAGCGACGUUACGUGAAUGAAGAAACUCUUCGGAGUGUAAAGUUCUUUUCUUCGGAAGGAACCCGCAAGGGUGACAGUACCGAAGGAAUAAGGGGAUCCUAAUUCUGUGCCAGCAGGAGCGGUAAGACAGAAUCCCCAAGCGUUACCCGGAUUUAUUGGGCGUAAAGGGUCUGUAGGUGGUAAAGUAAGUUGAAAGUUAAAACUCAUCGGCUUAACCUUUGAGAUGCUUUCAAUACUGCUAUACUAAGAGGGCGUUAGAGGUUAACGGAACCGACGGAGUAGGGGUGAAAUCCGUUGAUAUCGUCGGGAACACCAAAAGCGAAGGCAGUUAACUAGGACGACCCUGACACUGAGAGACGAAAGCGUGGGGAGCAAAAAGGAUUAGAUACCCUGGUAGUCC